rnacentral:rRNA from 1 species
AGCAGCCGCGGUAAUUCCAGCUCCAAUAGCGUAUAUUAAAGUCGUUGCAGUUAAAAAGCUCGUAGUUGAAUUUCGGGAUCAAUUUAUCGGUCGUGCCUAUGGUAUGAACUGGUACAAUUGGUUUCUCCCUUCUGACGAAGCAUGAUGUCAUUAAUUUGGUGUCGUGGGGAAUCAGGGCUGUUACUUUGAAAAAAUUAGAGUGUUUAAAGCAAGCAUUAGCUUGAAUACAUUAGCAUGGAAUAAUGAAAUAGGACGUUUGAUCCCAUUUCGUUGGUUUCUAGGAUCGACGUAAUGAUUAAUAGGGAUAGUUGGGGGCAUUAGUAUUCAAUUGUCAGAGGUGAAAUUCUUGGAUUUAUUGAAGACUAACUACUGCGAAAGCAUUUGCCAAGGAUGUUUUCAUUAAUCAAGAACGAAAGUUAGGGGAUCGAAGACGAUCAGAUACCGUCGUAGUCUUAACCAUAAACUAUGCCGACUAGGGAUCGGAUGAUGUUAAUUUUUUAAUGACUCA